rnacentral:rRNA from 1 species
CGGGCGGCAUGCCUAACACAUGCAAGUCGAACGGUAACGCGAGGAGCUUGCUCCUUGGCGACGAGUGGCGGACGGGUGAGUAAUACUUAGGAAUCUGCCCAGUAGUGGGGGACAACUCGGGGAAACUCGAGCUAAUACCGCAUACGCCCUAUGGGGGAAAGUGGAGGAUCUUCGGACUUCACGCUAUUGGAUGAGCCUAAGUCGGAUUAGCUUGUUGGUGAGGUAACGGCUCACCAAGGCGACGAUCCGUAGCUGGUCUGAGAGGACGAUCAGCCACACUGGGACUGAGACACGGCCCAGACUCCUACGGGAGGCAGCAGUGGGGAAUAUUGGACAAUGGGGGCAACCCUGAUCCAGCAAUGCCGCGUGUGUGAAGAAGGCCUGCGGGUUGUAAAGCACUUUCAGUAGAGAAGAAAAGCUUACGGUUAAUACCCGUGAGUCUUGACGUAACCUACAGAAGAAGCACCGGCUAACUCCGUGCCAGCAGCCGCGGUAAU